rnacentral:rRNA from 1 species
GGAAUUUCAAGAUUUCAAGCAGGCCGCGGGUUAAUACCAAGCGCCCCCGAGUGGGCAGUCGCCGAUUAUUUGGGGCCUAAAAGCGUUAGUAGCCGGCCUUCGUAAAAUUCCUUUGUGAAAAUCGUUCGUGCUUAACAAUGACGGGCGUGCAGGGGGACACUGCGAGGCUCGGGAUCCGGGAGGAGUCUGAGGUAUGCCCAUGGGGACCGGUAAAAUGGGAUAAUCCGUGGUAGACCACCGAUGGCGGAGGCAUCAGACCAGAACGGAUCCGACGGUGAGGGACGAAAGCCAGGGGAGCGAACCGGAUUAGAUACCCGAGUAGUCCUGGCCGUAAACGCUGUGAGCUAGGUGUUGCCCAUCCCACGAGGAUGGGCAGUGUCGAAACGAAGGUGAUAAGCUCACCGCCUGGGAAGUACGGUCGCAAGACUGAAACUUUAAGGAAUUGGCGGGGGCGCACUACAAGGGGUGCGGCGUGCGGUUUAAUCUAAUUCCACGCAGAGAACCUUACUAGAAGCGACGGCAGGAUGAAGGCCAGGCUGAAGACCUUGCCCGACGAGCCGAGAGGUAGUGCAUGGCCGCCGCCAGCUCGUGCUGUAAAGUGUCCAGUUAAGUCUGGUAACGAGCGAGACCUGCGCCCACAGUUGCUAACGGCACAUGUGGACCGAGCACACUGUGGGGACUGCCUUCGUAAGAAGGAGGAAGGUGCAGGCAACGGUAGGUCUGUAUGCUCCGAAUCUUCUAGGCUACACGCGCGCAACAAUGGUAGCGACAAUGGGUCGCGACCCCGAAAGGGGGAGCUAAUCCUCGAAACGCUAUCCCAGUCCGGAUUGAGGCUUGUAACUCAGCCUCAUGACGUCGGAAUCCCUAGUAAUCCGAUUUCAUCAUACUCGGGUGAAUAUGUCCCUGCCCCUUGCACAC